rnacentral:rRNA from 1 species
AUGAUGGGAUUGGGCUGGCUGGCCGACGAGGCGGCUGAGGAGGCGGCCAUAAUCGGGGAGAAGAAGAACAGGAGAGACAAUCUGUCGAUGGACGAAAUGAUGGCGAUGACAAGAGAGAUGCUAGGGGAAGUACCCGAGGAAGCCAACACUGAUCAUAAUGCCUACUGUGCCCGUGUUCACCGCGAAGAUUGGGACCAGCUCUUCGCCCAACACUACGGCCCCUUCGACCAGACCAGUAAGCGUCCUCCUCGUCCAUCCAUCCCUGCCUCGCGCUUCACCGACCUUCGCCGCCCUAACAACCGCUAUGCCCACAAGCAGGAGAUGCUCCAGAUCUUCUGGAUCAAAGUCGGGAAGAUAAAGAAGCCCCUGAAAACACAAUUUAAUAUAUGCAACAAAUUCCAAACCAUCACCGAGGAGCUUCACAUACUCCGUGCAUGGAUAUUAGCGUAUUUGGAUCGAUUUCUUAUGCUAACGGGACCUACCCGAGGAAUUGUGAUGAAUGUACAUCCUAUCUAUGUUGAAGUUGAUCUGAAGGCGAAGGGCGCGACUGAAUCUGAGGAUAAAGAUUUAAGCUAUUUAGUAGUUGCGUCUCUUCCAUGGGGCCGUCUUAUCGUGCUGAGGCUAGCAAGCUUAGCACACUAG